rnacentral:misc_RNA from 1 species
CGAACGAGCUUCUGUUGAAUUCAACAUGGCAGCUUGCACAUCCGUGCGAAAAAUAGAUUUUACCAUUCUCUCUUCAUGUAUUAAUUGUCUUUAAAACAUAUAAAAUCUUUAUUCGGGUUUUUAUUUGUGUAUUUGUUAUCAUCCCCUAUGUACCUCCAAUAUUUGAAUUGAAAACAAAUCCUGAUUAGCGAGAUUAGGCUCUUUCUCAGGACACACUGCAUGCUCUGCCUGGCUGGACCUGCUGCAAGAGAUUCAUCGCCGCCCGGACCAUCCCGAUCGAUCCCCAGCCUUGGGCCCAUGGGCAUUCGCUCAGCUCCGAUGGAAAUAGCAGAAGAUCAUGUCUUUCAUGAGGCUACUGUCAUUUAAGCGAUUACCACUGCAGCGAGUCACUCCUUGGGUUGCAGUGACCGACUGGGAUCAACUUCAGAGACAAAGUUACCUUGUAUCAGCUAGACCAUGUCUUUGUUUCUUCUCAAACACAACUCAUCCUAGCAAUGAUAAGCCAAAGACAAGAUGUCGUAGGCAGCGAGAAGAAGCAUUUCAAGUGAAGCUUGGCUAUGCAUUACUCAAGCAGGGUGGAGUAAAUCUACUGCGACAGGCCAAGAAGAAGGGGGCCAAUGAUUUCGAAGAGACAAAGAAGAAAGUUCAAGAGCAGGUUGAAAAGAGCAAGAUUAAAGUAAAGGAAUUGAGAGAGAACAUUUUCACGAUCCCAAACUUGCUGACGACGAUGCGGCUAGCUCUGUCUCCUUACAUUGGUUACCUUGUGAUCAAUGAGCAGUAUUUACUCGGAUCUUCACUCUUUCUUCUCGCUGGGCUAUCUGAUCUGCUAGAUGGGUGGAUAGCAAGGAAUUUUGAAAAUCAGCAAUCCGUACUUGGUUCAAUAAUUGAUCCUCUGGCUGAUAAAUGUCUCAUCAGUAUUCUCACUGUCAGCUUGACCUAUAGUGACCUUAUUCCAUUACCCCUGACGGCUCUAAUUAUCCUGAGGGAUAUAGGUCUCAUGUCUGCUGCCUUUUACCUACGCUAUCAAUCCUUACCACCUCCAAUUACAUUAAGAAGGUACUUUGAUCUCACUCAUGCUACUGUACAGAUGAAGCCUACAUUUAUAAGUAAGGUUAAUACUGCAGUCCAGUUAUCUCUUGUUGGAUUCACUCUCGUUGCCCCUGUCUUUGCCUUCACAGAUCAUCCAUUUCUUCAUGGUUUAUGGUAUGUGACGGCCUCUACUACAGUAUUAUCUGGUCUGAGUUAUUGCUUCUCUCGAGAUGUCUUCAAAUACUUAAACAGGAAUAGAUGAUGAACCCUGUGCAGCACCUUUGAAUACAUCCCCUGAAUAGCAUUGUGAGAGGAAUCUUGAAAGAAAUCGUUUCUCCA